rnacentral:rRNA from 1 species
CCUCGAUGUCGGCUCAUCUCAUCCUGGGGCUGUAGCCGGUCCCAAGGGUAUGGCUGUUCGCCAUUUAAAGAGGUACGUGAGCUGGGUUUAAAACGUCGUGAGACAGUUUGGUCCCUAUCUGCUGUGGGCGUUGGAGAUUUGACGGGGGCUGCUCCUAGUACGAGAGGACCGGAGUGGACACACCUCUGGUGUACCUGUUGUCACGCCAGUGGCAUCGCAGGGUAGCUAAGUGUGGAAGAGAUAACCGCUGAAAGCAUCUAAGCGGGAAACUUGCCUGAAGAUGAGAUCUCCCUGGGGACUCGAUCCCCCUGAAGGGUCGUCCAAGACCAGGACGUUGAUAGGCCGGGUGUGGAAGCGCAGUAAUGCGUGCAGCUAACCGGUACUAAUUGCCCGUGAGGCUUGACCCUAUAGUUUUGCG